AGAGUUUGAUCCUGGCUCAGGAUGAACGCUGGCGGCGUGCUUAAUACAUGCAAGUCGAACGAAGAUAAUAGCAAUAUUGUCUUAGUGGCGAACGGGUGAGUAACGCGUUGGUGACCUGCCCCGAAGAGAGGGAUAACAGUUCGAAAGGACUGCUAAUACCUCAUGUGGUCAAAGAGGUUAGAGUCUCUUUGUCUAAAGGGAGUAAUUCGCUUCGGGAGGGGCCUGCGUCCCAUCAGCUAGUUGGUAAGGUAAUGGCCUACCAAGGCGAUGACGGGUAGGGGACCUGAGAGGGUGGCCCCCCACAAUGGAACUGAAACACGGUCCAUACACCUACGGGUGGCAGCAGUAGGGAAUAUUGGUUAAUGUGGGAAACCGCGAACCAGCAACGCCGCGUGUGCGAUGAAGGCCUUCGGGUUGUAAAGCACUUUUAGAGAGGAUGAGGAAGGACAGUACUCUCUGAAUAAGCCUCGGCUAACUACGUGCCAGCAGCCGCGGUAAAACGUAGGAGGCGAGCGUUAUCCGGAUUUACUGGGCGUAAAGCGCGUGUAGGCGGUUUGGUAAGUUGGAUGUGAAAGCUCCUGGCUUAACUGGGAGAGGUCGUUCAAAACUACCAGACUUGAGAGUGGUAGAGGGAGGUGGAAUUCCGGGUGUAGUGGUGAAAUGCGUAGAUAUCCGGAGGAACACCAGUGGCGAAAGCGGCCUCCUGGACCACUUCUGACGCUCAGACGCGAAAGCUAAGGUAGCAAACGGGAUUAGAGACCCCGGUAGUCUUAGCUGUAAACUAUGUGAACUUGGCGUCGGUGGGUUCAAAUCCAUCGGUGCCGAAGCUAACGCGAUAAGUUCACCGCCUGGGGACUACGGCCGCAAGGUUAAAACUCAAAGGAAUUGACGG
rnacentral:rRNA from 1 species